GGUGUUCGGUAUAGGUAGAUGAUAUAUAUA
rnacentral:guide_RNA from 1 species